GAUGAACGCUGGCGGCGUGCCUAAUACAUGCAAGUCGAGCGAACAGAUGAGGAGCUUGCUCCUCUGACGUUAGCGGCGGACGGGUGAGUAACACGUGGAUAACCUACCUAUAAGACUGGGAUAACUUCGGGAAACCGGAGCUAAUACCGGAUAAUAUAUUGAACCGCAUGGUUCAAUAGUGAAAGACGGUUUUGCUGUCACUUAUAGAUGGAUCCGCGCCGCAUUAGCUAGUUGGUAAGGUAACGGCUUACCAAGGCAACGAUGCGUAGCCGACCUGAGAGGGUGAUCGACCACACUGGAACUGAGACACGGUCCAGACUCCUACGGGAGGCAGCAGUAGGGAAUCUUCCGCAAUGGGCGAAAGCCUGACGGAGCAACGCCGCGUGAGUGAUGAAGGUCUUCGGAUCGUAAAACUCUGUUAUUAGGGAAGAACAAAUGUGUAAGUAACUAUGCACGUCUUGACGGUACCUAAUCAGAAAGCCACGGCUAACUACGU
rnacentral:rRNA from 1 species